GGCCUCGCGCCGUGGGACGGCGUCGCUCCCCGCCGGCUGCCGUUAGGGCUGGGAGCCGGCUGGGCGCGGGGGUAGUGAGGGUGCCUCUCGCCGUGGCUGCGCGGCGGCCUCGUCCGAGAGGCCGGCGCCGGGGCAGUGACCGGCCCGUGCCCAGCCGCCGCGCAGGGCGCCCGGGGCAGCUGGCCGAGCCCUCGAUGCCUCCCGUCUGACGGAGGCGCCCGGGAAGCGCCGCCCACCUCGGCCCCGCACCCUCGCCGGCCUGCCGGGUCUCCGCCAGCCCUAGCAGACAGAGAGGGGCGCCGGUCCCUAGUCCCCCAGACCUCCAUUCAAGGUCAAAACUUUGCCCAGCUCAGCCUUGCUCGACCCUGGGCAGGGAAGCGCGGACAUCGGCAGAGGGAGCCCGAGGCUCUCCGUGCCCUUCGCGCCGCUCCCCAAGGAUGGAUAACACUAACAUAUAGUCAGUGGGAAAGAAAUCUCAGAAAAUAACUGUUAGUUUGUCACUGUCAUGGGAAAUGGGAAGGAAGAAAAACAGCACUUAUCAAGCAUCUUCUGUGUACAAACUGCCAUUUCAGACUCAGAGCAGUCCUUGAAGGUCAAGAACUGUGGAAUCUUUCAGAUGAUAUUCUGAUACUUCUGGACCAAGAUUGAAUUUGUUCUUCAUGAAAAAUGUCUGGGACCUUUUAUAUGGACGGGGAAUACCAACGUAGAGAUGGUCAAGAAAAUUUGCGCUCCGACCUAAACCAAGCACGUUGUAUGGUAGUUGGAGAGCUAAAUGUGCGGAUUGGCUGAGUUGGCCAGCUAGAGUUAUUCAAUUAAAAAAAAAUUAAAAACAUCUCUGGAAACAUUGCUCCCAUCAAAUAUUAAAAUGAUAAAAUGUUAA
rnacentral:lncRNA from 10 species